GGGGGCAGGGCCUUUGUGAA
rnacentral:miRNA from 1 species